rnacentral:lncRNA from 1 species
GGUUAGUUUCUAGAAUGUAUAGUGGACUUGAGCAGCUCAACAGUAAAAGCCCAAGAGCCAAGCUCACGAAUGGACAAGGAGAAGAAGAAGUAGUUUCUCACAGAACUUCAAAUGACCAAUGAAUGUAUAACUAGAUGACCAAGCAGCAUCCUUAGUCAGAGAAAUACAGUUCAAACUUGGUGGGAUCUGACUUCAAGUGUAGUGGAUGGCAGGAAAAAAAGACGAACAACGACGUUUAAAUGAAGCUGAGGAGAAACUGGAAUCCUUCCUCAGUGCUGGGCAGUAGCAGAGCCCUUUGGGAAAUUUUUACAAUGUGUUAAAAAGUUAAAUGUAUCCAAGUAUUCUGGUGUAUGCUGGUUGGCAUAUGUGGGGCAGAGUAAGAGGGAUCAAGUGUUGGACAGCAACCCAGACUCAAUAGCAAGUUCCAGCCAGCUUAGGCUGCAAUGAAAAUCCCUGUCGCAAAACAAAAUAAAAUCUUUUAUGUCAUCAAAUGACCCAGGAAUUCUAGAUUCGAAUGCUAGAGAAUCGAAAGCAAUUUUCAUAGGAAACUUUGUUAUCACAUAUUCACAAUAAAGUCUCCCAUAGUAGUCCAAUGUAGAAACCCAUCUACAUUCCC